AAGAAGUAAGGCCCCUUAUAGAUGAUAAGGUAGAUAGGCCAGAUGUGGAAGUGGAGUAAUCCAUGGAGCUGACUGGUACUAAUAGGCCGAGCACUUGACUUAU
rnacentral:rRNA from 1 species